AGUGAACGCUGGCGGUAGGUCUAACACAUGCAAGUCGAACGGCAGCACAGUAAGAGCUUGCUCUUACGGGUGGCGAGUGGCGGACGGGUGGGGAAUACAUCGGAAUUUACUUUUUCGGGGUGGUUAACGUUGGGAAACUUACGCUAAUACCGCAUACGACCCUCGGGUUAAAGCAGGGGAUCUUCGGACCUUGCGCGAUUGAAUUAGCCGAAGCCGGAUUAGCUAGUUGGCGGGGUAAAGGCCCACCAAGGCGACGAUCCGUAGCUGGUCUGAGAGGAUGAUCAGCCACACUGGAACUGAGACACGGUCCAGACUCCUACGGGAGGCAGCAGUGGGGAAUAUUGGACAAUGGGCGCAAGCCUGAUCCAGCCAUACCGAGUGGGUGAAGAAGGCCUUCGGGUUGUAAAGCCCUUUUGUUGGGAAAGAAAAGCAGCAGGUUAAUACCCCGCUGUUCUGACGGUACCCAAAGAAUAAGCACCGGCUAACUUCGUG
rnacentral:rRNA from 1 species